rnacentral:rRNA from 1 species
UGGGGAAUAUUGCACAAUGGGCGCAAGCCUGAUGCAGCCAUGCCGCGUGUGUGAAGAAGGCCUUCGGGUUGUAAAGCACUUUCAGCGGGGAGGAAGGCGUUAAGGUUAAUAACCUUGGCGAUUGACGUUACCCGCAGAAGAAGCACCGGCUAACUCCGUGCCAGCAGCCGCGGUAAUACGGAGGGUGCAAGCGUUAAUCGGAAUUACUGGGCGUAAAGCGCACGCAGGCGGUCUGUCAAGUCGGAUGUGAAAUCCCCGGGCUCAACCUGGGAACUGCAUGCGAAACUGGCAGGCUAGGGUCUGGUAGAGGGGGGUAGAAUUCCAGGUGUAGCGGUGAAAUGCGUAGAGAUCUGGAGGAAUACCGGUGGCGAAGGCGGCCCCCUGGACAAAGACUGACGCUCAGGUGCGAAAGCGUGGGGAGCAAACAGG